rnacentral:rRNA from 1 species
UUAAGCAUAUCAGUAAGCAGAGGAAAAGAAAACAACUGUGAUUCCCUUAGUAACUGCGAGUGAAGCGGGAUAAGCCCAUCGUUUAAUCUUCCCGGACUAUGGACGGGACGAAAUGUAACGGUAUGGAUAGGUUCUCUACCAACAAUGGCCGGUCAAAGUCCUCCGGAUUGAGGUGCCAGAGAGGGUGACAGCCCCGUGUGUGACUGGACAGAGUUGGGUAUGUGACCGAUUCCGAGAGUCGGGUUGUUUGGGACUGCAACCUAAAGCAGGUGGUAAACUCCACCCAAGGCUAAAUAUUGACACGAAACCGAUAGCGAACAAGUACUGUGAAGGAAAGUUGAAAAGAACUCUGAAAAGAGAGUUAAAAGUACGUGAAACCGCUAACGGGGAAGCGGAAGGCAGUGUCGAGAUUGAGUGAGUGAGUCGUGUCAAGCGUGUAUGGUGUGUCGUGUGGCGGUGUGUAAUGUGUGCUUGGAACGGCUAGCUUUGCUCGAUGCGUCAGGACUAUCGGUGUGCUGCGGUUCAUCGUGGGCAUGGCUUCUACGACGUUUGGACCUCGGUCCUACUUUGUGGUUGCGGCCGGCGACAAAGUGGUGCGCUGAUAUGUGUGUGAUGGAGCGGUGGUGAUGUAGUGUCGGUUGGCGCGGCGCGGUGCUUCGUUCUGGUCACAGUGUGGCUACGUGCGGAGAAGUCGCGUUGUGGGUCAACAACCAGUGCUAGCUCCUGACGUGAUACCUAACUUUC